UGAAAACCUCCAUGCAUGAUCUACCAAAAAACAGGCUGGAUUUAUCCUCCAUCCACCAUGGAAUGACAUGGCCUUGGCUGGGAUUGUGAGUCAGGCUUUCUUUAGAAUGAUAGUCUAGAAUAGUUCCAAAUGCAACAUUUUAACGCCAUUCAAAUUGCAGCUGAAGAGCCAUACAAAACCUUUUAAGUCCUACAAGUAUUGGAGUAUUCUACCUAAAUGAGAACAUGGCUAAUCUAUGGCAGGUUAUAGUUGUGGCAUUAAUGUACUUUUGCACAUUGCUGAAAAGAAGUAUAGAACAGAUACAGAGAUGUUUGUGCUUCAAAAAUAGUUUAAAUUGGGUUCAGUUCAGACAGGCAGAUUCUGAUGCUGUAGAAGAGAAAUCUGAUAACCUACAGGCAGACAUCUGGAGAACAAAUCAAGAGUACAGGACCUAUCGGCACCAGAGCAAUGGACAAAUGGUAAUGGUGCAAACCAGCACACAUACUUUCCAUGUGAGUAUCUACACAUAAACCACAGACUGUAACAACCUUGGCCCACAAACACAUGAUGUCAUGCUUAUCAGCACUUACUUCUAGGUGGAUCUGGAGAAGCUUGCAGACUGCAGCGAGUAUUUCAAGGCUCUGUCCCACUCCUGCAUGAGAGAGACAUCCGAACAGCUGGUACACCUAGAACCUGUUCCCUCUCCAGUCUUCCACAACCUUCUACAAUUCUGCUUCCUACAGCAGUUCUGCAUUUCUGAAGACCUCCUUGGGGAACACCUACGGGUGAGCACUUACCUGCUUGCUUACGGGUUCACCAAUCGUCUACUGAUUGCCCUCUCUCAAGCCCUAACGGAGCACACCUGCUUAGGCUAUCUACAGCUGGCUGAAGAACUCUGCAGUGAGGAGCUCCAAGAGACUGUGCUAACCUACCUGAGCAAGUAUCUACUGGAGCGUCCACACCUGAGUCAGGGCUUGGAUCCACACCUUAAAGCAAAGCUUCUCAGAUUAAGGUCAAAGGGAACUCCACACUUAUGCUGCUUGAGAAAGGAGAACUUGACCUCAAGCAAUGACCUGGAAACAGAUGCUGCUCGAAAGCUCUUCAGGCUGGAGGAAGACAAGGAUUAUGGGAAAUGGAGUUCUAUCACAGAUCUGCCUUUUUGUGCAGAUAAGUGGUGCUUCACCACAGCGGUUCUCUAUAAUUACCUCUAUCUCAUAGGGGGUUAUAGACACCGUGUAAAGAAGGGUUAUGAGUUCAAGAUGGCUUCCUUCCGCUACAACCCUUUUACCAAUCAAUGGGUAUCAACAGCUCCUCUGAUUAAGAUUGCUGGUGUGAGCUGCUCCCCACACUAACCCGCUCCAGUGCAGACCUCCCCAUCUUGAACUUCCUGGGUGCUGCUAAUAAUCAGUUGGUUGUAAUUGGAGGGAACAAUUCUGAAACCAUGGUGACAUCUUUCUGUGUGGAAUCUCAGAAGUGGGGCUGUAUCAGAGCAAUGGAGAAGACCACUUUAAUUGGCCAGGGCACCAUUCUGCAUAAUGAGGUCUACAUGUCAGGGAUGAAGGACAAUUCUAUAGUUAAACUGAACCUGCAUUCACUGUCCCUCUGUCCUCUUCCUUCCCUCCCUGUCACCACCUGCUACGAGAGCCUUUUCCACCUCUACUUCUGACCUUGUUUUUCUUCUUGUUUAAUUGCAACAAAAUGUAACAAAAUAUUUCAUAAAUAAAUGUAUCAACUUGUGUAAAGUAAAGCAUUUUGUGAGA
rnacentral:lncRNA from 1 species